GACAGAGGGUGCAAACGUUGUUCGGAAUUACUGGGCGUAAAGCGCGUGUAGGCUGCUUCGCAAGUCGGAUGUGAAAUCCCCGGGCUUAACCUGGGAAUGGCAUUUGGGACUGCAAGGCUUGAGUGCGGCAGAGGAGACUGGAAUUCCUGGUGUAGCAGUGAAAUGCGUAGAUAUCAGGAGGAAUACCGAUGGCGAAGGCAGGUCUCUGGGCUGACACUGACGCUCAUGCACGAAAGCGUGGGGAGCAAACAGG
rnacentral:rRNA from 1 species